rnacentral:rRNA from 1 species
UACGGAGGGGGCGAGCGUUAUUCGGAAUUAUUGGGCGUAAAGGGCUCGUAGGCGGUCUGUUGCGUCGGUAGUGAAAACUCAGGGCUUAACCCUGAGCCUGCUUCCGAUACGGGCAGACUAGAGGUAUGCAGGGGAGAACGGAAUUCCUGGUGUAGCGGUGAAAUGCGCAGAUAUCAGGAGGAACACCGGUGGCGAAGGCGGUUCUCUGGGCAUUACCUGACGCUGAGGAGCGAAAGUGUGGGGAGCGAACAGG